UUUUUCAUGUUUUAACUUUUUAGAUAAAGUAUCUUACCAACUACCCUAUGAUUGAUUAAGAAAAAAUAGAAAAAUUUUGAAACUAAAUUUUCUAUAUUAAAAAUAUAAUUAUCUUAUUGCAAGCAAAAUCCAACAACACGUGUUAGAUAAGUUUUUGUUUAAAAAAAAAGUCUAUAAAAUGAUGAAGCAGUAUAGAAACCUUUACCUCUUAACCCCAAUUCGUCAAAUCCAGUCCAUCAAAAUACUACUUAAUUCUUAGAAGCAAAAACAUGAGGAGUACUUGACAUACUUACAAAAAAGAUUACAAAACCCUUGUUGAGAAGACUGAAGAGCACUUUGGCAUAUUUUUGUUUUCAGUUUAUCCGAAAUGAGAUAUUAAUAAAAUAAUAAUUAAUCCAAAGAGCAUGAUCUUAUGGAGGGCAAAUCAGUCCAUGAAUGUUUUUUUCCAUUAGUAAUUAAUAGAAUAAAAGAGUUGUUACAAAAAUGUUAAAAUAAGGGAGGUAGCCAUAAUAUUACAAACGUGAGGGGAGGUCAGUGAAACGAAGCAAAACUUGAGGGGAGGUCUCUGAAAUUUUCCCUU